rnacentral:lncRNA from 1 species
AAGACUUGCAACUUUUGUUUGAGCCUUCGGGUUUGUCGGCGCUUCUUUUGCCAAAAAAUUUAUUUUCUUCUCUUAAUUUUUCUUUAUCUUGGCUCAAUUUUUUCAACUCCUUCUCCUUUGAAGAGAGUUGUUUCUUUAAAUCCUUAGUGGUUUAGAAGCGCUAACAAAUUCGCCAUAUAACUCAUCAAAGGCGUCUUGCAUAUCUUCAUAAGUAUAAGGAUCUUUAG